UGCACCGAGAAAAUAUUUGUUAUUGUUACAUGGGUAUCUAGUUGUAUGAACGUGCAGUAUCGCCAGUUUGUCUAUCUCUCGAGUCUAGACAUGCUUAAGCUAUGUAGUGCAUUCAGAGACUGCAUUUGCUAAUCCAAGUGAAAGCAGAAGUAGUGGCAUGAAAUUUUCAAUCGAUUCUCUAUCUUGUGAAAGACAAAAACGGCCUGUUCGCAAUCCUGCCUAUUUCGAUUUUUCUCCAAGCCGAAGAUUAGUAGGAUUUUUUCUUGAAAGCUUGGUAGAAAUUCAGAAGAAUAGAAAUACAAUGAGCAGUUAUACAAUUUAAGUGUCAGAAAUGGCAAGGUGAAUCGGUUU
rnacentral:lncRNA from 1 species